GGCUCAGAGCGAACGCUAGCGGCGGGCCUAACACAUGCAAGUCGAGCGGGGAGCAAUCCCAGCGGCGAACGGGUGAGUAACACGUAGGUAAUGUACCUUCUGGUGGGGAAUAACCGUGGGAAACCAUGGCUAAUACCGCAUAUUGUGCGCAAGCAUGAAAGCCUUCGGGCGCCAGUCGAGCAGCCUGCGUCCCAUUAUUUAGUCCUAGUUGGUAGGGUAAUGGCCUACCAAGGGUACGAUGGGUAGCUGGUCUGAGAGGAUGAUCAGCCACACUGGAACUGAGACACGGUCCAGACUCCUACGGGAGGCAGCAGUGGGGAAUAUUGCGCAAUGGGCGAAAGCCUGACGCAGCCACGCCGCGUGAGUGAUGAAGGCCUUCGGGUUGUAAAGCUCUGUCGGGAGGGACGAAAGCGAAAGCUUGACGGUACCUCGCAAGAAAGCACCGGCUAACUCUGUGCCAGCAGCCGCGGUAAUACAGAGGGUGCAAGCGUUGCUCGGAUUUACUGGGCGUAAAGCGUACGCAGACGGUGAGGAAGGUCGGAUGUGAAAGCCCUGGGCUCAACCCAGGAACUGCAUCCGAAACCCCCUCGCUCGAGUAUAGGAGAGGGAAGCGGAAUUCCUGGUGUAGAGGUGAAAUUCGUAGAUAUCAGGAGGAACAUCUGCGGCGAAGGCGGCUUCCUGGCCUAUUACUGACGUUCAGGUACGAAAGCGUGGGUAGCAAACAGGAUUAGAUACCCUGGUAGUCCACGCCGUAAACGAUGAGUGCUGGAUGUCGGGGGUAUUCACCCCCUCGGUAUCGAAGCCAACGCGAUAAGCACUCCGCCUGGGGAGUACGGCCGCAAGGUUGAAACUC
rnacentral:rRNA from 1 species